AGGCUGGGUUUAGCUUUUCCCUUUAUCUCUCCACUUUCCCCAGAGAGAAGAAGAAAUAGAGAAUUUGAAAACAGUGAUUUCACCCAUUUUUCCCUAACUCUCAGUCCUUCCCACUGUGCCAACCAUGAUAUG